UCCGAGUUGACCCCGGCAGUCUCCCAUGAGUCCCCGGCAUAACCCGCUGGCAACAUGGAACGAGGGUUGCGCUCGUUGCGGGACUUAACCCAACAUCUCACGACACGAGCUGACGACAGCCAUGCACCACCUGUGCACUAGCCCCGAAGGGCUGCCGUAUUUCUACGACAUUCCAGUGCAUGUCAAGCCCUGGUAAGGUUCUUCGCGUUGCGUCGAAUUAAACAACAUGCUCCGCUGCUUGUGCGGGGACCCGUCAAUUCCUUUGAGUUUUAGCCUUGCGGCCGUACUCCCCAGGCGGGGCACUUAAUGCGUUUGCUGCGGCACGGAGAACGUGGAAGGUUCCCCACACCUAGCGCCCAACGUUUACGGCGUGGACUAC
rnacentral:misc_RNA from 1 species